GGAGGGCGCGGCGGUCGCUGC
rnacentral:sRNA from 1 species